GAGAGGACUGCCCGGUGUCCAUGGGGCCCCAGGUGACACAGGCCCUCCAGGGGUAGGAAUUCCUGGCCGAACAGGCUCCCAAGGACCAGCUGGAGAGCCAGGUAUUCAGGGUCCUCGAGGUCUCCCUGGGUUGCCAGGAACUCCAGGGACCCCAGGGAAUGAUGGAGCUCCAGGGAGGGAUGGAAAGCCAGGCCUGCCAGGCCCCCCAGGUGACCCGAUUGCACUUCCUCUCUUGGGAGACAUCGGCGCCUUGCUCAAGAACUUCUGUGGCAACUGCCCAGCCAGUGUCCCCGGGCUGAAAAGCAACAAAGGAGAAGAGGGAGGUGC